rnacentral:rRNA from 1 species
UACGGGGGGGGGCAAGCGUUGUUCGGAAUUACUGGGCGUAAAGGGCUCGUAGGUGGCCAACUAAGUCAGACGUGAAAUCCCCAGGCUCAACUUGGGAACUGCGUCUGAUACUGGAUGGCUUGAAUUCGGGAGAGGGAUGCAGAAUUCCAGGUGUAGCGGUGAAAUGCGUAGAUAUCUGGAGGAAUACCGGUGGCGAAGGCAGCCCCCUGGGUCAAAACUGACGCUCAUGCACGAAAGCGUGGGGAGCAAACAGG